ACGCUCGACACCUACGGGAGCAGCAGUGGGGAAUAUUGCACAAUGGGGGAAACCCUGAUGCAGCAACGCCGCGUGAGUGAAGAAGUAUUUCGGUAUGUAAAGCUCUAUCAGCAGGGAAGAUAAUGACGGUACCUGACUAAGAAGCUCCGGCUAAAUACGUACCAGCAGCCGCGGUAAUCUGAGCGGGCGUGGCAAGGC
rnacentral:rRNA from 1 species